AACGAACGCUGGCGGCAUGCCUAACACAUGCAAGUCGAACGAGACCUUCGGGUCUAGUGGCGCACGGGUGCGUAACGCGUGGGAACCUGCCCUUAGGUUCGGAAUAACUCCCCGAAAGGGGUGCUAAUACCGGAUAAUGUCUUCGGACCAAAGAUUUAUCGCCUUUGGAUGGGCCCGCGUUGGAUUAGCUAGUUGGUAGGGUAAAAGCCUACCAAGGCGACGAUCCAUAGCUGGUCUGAGAGGAUGAUCAGCCACACUGGGACUGCGACACGGCCCAGACUCCUACGGGAGGCAGCAGUGGGGAAUAUUGGACAAUGGGCGAAAGCCUGAUCAAGCAAUGCCGCGUGAGUGAUGAAGGCCUUAGGGUUGUAAAGCUCUUUUACCCGGGAUGAUAAUGACAGUACCGGGAGAAUAAGCUCCGGCUAACUCCGUG
rnacentral:rRNA from 1 species